rnacentral:rRNA from 1 species
AAUUACUUAUUUUAUUAGUUUACAUAUCGUCGUAGUUUGAGUAUUUUAUAAGAAUAUAAAUAUUCAAGAUUUUUAAAAUUAAAAGUAAAUCAGAUCAAGGUGUAGUUUAUAAAUAAGAGGAAAUGGGUUACAAUUAAUAUAUUAAUAUUGGAUGAUUAAUUGAAAAUUAAUUUAAAAUUGGAUUUGACAGUAAUUUUAAAAAAUUAUUAAAAUGAUUUUAGCUCUAGAAUAUGUACAUAUCGCCCGUCAUUUUCGCUAUAAAGUGAAACAAGUCGUAACAUAGUAGGUGUACUGGAAAGUGUACCUAGAAAGUCAAAUUAGAGCUUGUUAAAAGCAUUUUAUUUACAUUAAAAAGUUUAUUGUGAAAAUCAAUAUAAUUUGAUAUUAUUAUAUUAUUAAAUUAAAUUAGUUUAAAAAAGAUUAAAAAAAAUAAUUUUAAGUUUUAUUAUUUAAUAUGAAAUAAUUAUAUUUAUUAUAGUAAAUUAGUAUUGUGAAAGAAUUAUAUUAUUAAUUUAAAAGAAUAAUUAAUUUUUAGUACCUUGUGCAUCAGGGUUUAUUAAAUAAAAAUUUAUAAUUAAAUUUUCUCGAAUUUAAAAGAGUUAUAUAAUUAUAAUUAUUAAUGUAUCAUAAUUAUUAAUAAUAUUUAUAUAGUAAUGAAAUGUUAUUCGUUUUUAGAUAUAUCUAGUUUUUAAAGAAAUAAAUUUAAUUUAAUUAAUAUAAAUAUUAAAUUAAAUUUUUAAUUUAAUAUUAAUAUUAAUAAAUAUUUUAAGGGUUGAGCUUUAAAAUAAAUUAUUAUAAAUAGUAUAGGUUAUUUUAAAUUAAUAGGAUUGAUAAUUUCCAUUUUUUAGUGUGUUAUAAUUAAUUUAAGUUUUAUUAUGAUUUUUAUUAGUUUUAAUUUUUUUAUUUAAAUAUUAAUUUAAAUUUUUUAUGUUUAAAAAUAAUGAUAAAAUUAGUAUAUUUAUAUUAUUUAUUUUAAAUUUAAUUUAAGGUUAAAUUAAGGAAUUGCGGCAAAUAAUUUUCCACCUGUUUAAUAAAAACAUGGCCUAAUGAAUAAAAUGUUAGGUCUAACCUGCUCAAUGAAUAAUUAAAUAGCCGCGGUAAUUUGACCGUGCAAAGGUAGCAUAAUCAUUUGUUUUUUAAUUGAAAGCUGGAAUGAAAGGUUGAAUGAGAAAAUAACUGUCUCUAUUUAAAUAUUAAAAUUUUAUUUUUAAGUUAAAAAGCUUAAAUUUAUUUAGAAGACGAGAAGACCCUAUAGAGUUUAAUAAUUAAAUUUAUUUAGUAAUUUUAGAAUUUAUAAAUAUUUAGUAAAUUAAUUAUUGUAUUGGGGUGAUUGAAAAAUUGGAAUAACUUUUUUUAUUUAUUUCCACGAAUUAGUGAUUAAUUGAUCCUAAAAAUAGAUUAAAAGAUUAAAUUACCUUAGGGAUAACAGCGUAAUUUUUUUUAAGAGUUCUAAUCGAAAUUAAAGAUUGCGACCUCGAUGUUGGAUUAAAAUUAAAAUUUGGUGUAGAAGCUAAAUUAUUUGGUCUGUUCGACCAUUUAAAUUUUACUUGAUCUGAGUUCAAACCGGUGUAAGCCAGGUUGGUUUCUAUCUCUAAUUAAUAUAAAUAUUUUAGUACGAAAGGACCAAAUAUUAAAUUAAAAAUUUUUUAUUUGAAUUAUAGUGUUAUUUUGGCAGAUUAGUGCAAUAGAUUUAGGAUCUUUAUAUGUAAAUUUUACAAAUAAUACUUGUUAUUUAAAGAUUUUUAUUUAAUGAUAAUUUCUAGAUUAAUUUUAAUAAUUUGUGUAAUAGUAGGUGUGGCCUUUUUGACCUUACUGGAGCGUAAAGUUUUAGGAUAUAUUCAAAUUC